rnacentral:rRNA from 1 species
AUUGAACGCUGGCGGCAUGCUUUACACAUGCAAGUCGAACGGCAGCGCGGGCUUCGGCCUGGCGGCGAGUGGCGAACGGGUGAGUAAUGCAUCGGAACGUGCCCAGUAGUGGGGGAUAGCCCGGCGAAAGCCGGAUUAAUACCGCAUACGACCUGAGGGUGAAAGCGGGGGACCGAAAGGCCUCGCGCUAUUGGAACGGUCGAUGUCGGAUUAGCUAGUUGGUGGGGUAAAGGCUUACCAAGGCGACGAUCCGUAGCUGGUCUGAGAGGACGACCAGCCACACUGGAACUGAGACACGGCCCAGACUCCUACGGGAGGCAGCAGUGGGGAAUUUUGGACAAUGGGGGCAACCCUGAUCCAGCCAUGCCGCGUGCGGGAAGAAGGCCUUCGGGUUGUAAACCGCUUUUGUUCGGGAAGAAAUCCUCUGGGCUAAUACCCCGGGGGGAUGACGGUACCGGAAGAAUAAGCACCGGCUAACUACGUG